ACAUGUGUAAGGCGGCCUGCCAUGCCGGCGGAUGAGGAGCGAGCGGAGAGCGGAGACCCGGCGACCCGGACACGGAUACGGAUGGUGGGCGGAAACGGAGGUGACAGACAGAGAGAGAGAGGGCUCUUGUGUCACAGGCAAGGGCAAGAUAUUUUUUGCCACCUCUAAUUUCCCUUGAAAAGGUGAUGGUGAAUAUCAACCUUAAACCUCUCCAACUGUUCUGAUGAAGAUAUUCUUACUGUUCAGUUAUUGAGAUCCAGAAAUGGCAAAAGAGCACAAACAUAUUUCCAAGUCAAAAUGGGUACUUUUCCUUGUGAUAUACCAGCAGAGUUCUGAAAUUGGGAUCACCCACCCAAUAUCCAGAAGGUUGAGUUAUUGUGUUGCACCAUCUGAAACAAGGGAAUCCACAUAAGCUAUAAUGCAAGACGACCCUCUGAAGAAAACUGGAGGAAUUACUUUUUGUAGCUGGAAUAUUAGGGGCGUUAACGAGCCAAUUAAAAGGGGUAAGGUUCUUGCCCAAUUAAAAUCAAUUAAUGCUGAUAUAAUAUUGUUACAGGAAACGCACCUUAAAGAUCACUCUCAGACCAGGCUGAAGGCUAACUGGAUCGGUCAAAUAUAUCACUCCUCUUAUACCUCUAAAUUCAGAGCCACUGCAAUUAUACUCCGUAAGGGCAUUCCAUUUAAACAUAAAAACACCAUAGCAGACAAAGAUGGUAGGUAUGUCAUAGUUUCUGGGGAGAUAUAUUUUACCCCACUCACUAUGGUAAAUAUCUAUGCUCCUAACUUUGAUAACCCACAAUUUUUUAAUAACAUUUUGAAUAUAAUUUCAGACUCCACCCAGCAAAACCUGAUAAUCGGAGGAGAUUUCAAUUGUGUUCUGGAUCAAUACUUGGAUAAAUCCUCAAAACAAAAGAGAUAUAAUACAAAAUCAAAAUCCAGCGAACCCU